rnacentral:rRNA from 1 species
ACGCACGCUGGCGGCGUGCCUAAUACAUGCAAGUAGCACGCUGAAGGAGGAGCUUGCUUCUCUGGAUGAGUUGCGAACGGGUGAGUAACGCGUAGGUAACCUGCCUGGUAGCGGGGGAUAACUAUUGGAAACGAUAGCUAAUACCGCAUAAGAGUAGAUGUCGCAUGACAUUUGCUUAAAAGGUGCAAUUGCAUCACUACCAGAUGGACCUGCGUUGUAUUAGCUAGUUGGUGAGGUAACGGCUCACCAAGGCAACGAUACAUAGCCGACCUGAGAGGGUGAUCGGCCACACUGGGACUGAGACACGGCCCAGACUCCUACGGGAGGCAGCAGUAGGGAAUCUUCGGCAAUGGACGGAAGUCUGACCGAGCAACGCCGCGUGAGUGAAGAAGGUUGUCGGAUCGUAAAGCUCUGUUGUAAGAGAAGAACGAGUGUGAGAGUGGAAAGUUCACACUGUGACGGUAUCUUACCAGAAAGGGACGGCUAACUACGUG